UUUAAUUUGAGUUUGAUCCUGGCUCCGAAUGAACGCUUGUAAUAUGCUUUACACAUGCGAGUUAUCUUAAAAAAAAAAAAAGAAGCGAACGGGUGAGGAUUUUGUUUAAUACUAUUUUUUAGUCAUAAAAAAGACAUCUUUAGUUUAUCUAAUUAAAACUUUUUUAAAGUUGUGUUAAUUUUAGAUUUUUCAAAGUUAUUUAAAAAUAACGCUAUAAAGUGUAUUUGCAAAAGAUUAGGUAGUUGGUUUUUUAAACGAAAACCAAGCCGACGAUCUUUAAUUGGUCUUAGAGGAUAAUCAAUCACACUGGAACUGAGACAAGGUCCAGACUAUUUUAGUCAGCAGUGAGGAAUAUUGGACAAUGAACGAAAGUUUGAUCCAGCAAUAUUACGUUAAUGAUUUUUGUAUUUAUUUUUAUAAACUUUUUAUGGUUAUAGUUUUUUCUAUAAUUAAACAAAAAUUUAUAUAAAUUUAUAUAAAAUAAAGAAGGCUAUUUUGGUUGUAAAAUUUUAUAUUUUUAUUUGAUAGUGAUAAAUAAAAAAAAAGUCCUGGCUAAUACUCGUGCCAGCAGCCGCGGUAAUACGGGAAGGGCUAGCGUUAUUCAAAAUUACUGGGCGUAAAGUGUUCGUAGACUGUUUUGUAAGUUAUAUCUAAAAUUUAUAAAUUAUAUUUAAAAGUUUUAUAAUACUACAAAACUAGAGUUUUAUUUAGAAGAAUAGAAUUUUUUGAGGAGAGAUAAAAUUCGUAGAGUUUUAAAGGAAUACCUUAUAGUGAAAACAAUUCUUUAUUAAAAACUAACGUUGAGGAACGAAAGUAUAGGUAGCAAACAGGAUUAGAUACCCUGGUAGUCUAUACUGUAAAUUAUGAAUGCUAAGAUUUAAAAAAAUUAGAUUUUAAAGCUAACGCGAUAAGCAUUCCGCCUGAGAAGUACGAUCGCAAGAUUAAAACUCAAAGGAAUUGACGGGAGCCUACUACAAGUGGUGGAGCAUGUGGUUUAAUGCGAUAAUACGCGCAAAAUCUUACCAAUUUUUGUUUUUCAAUUUUUAAUUUUAUUUAAGUAUAAAAAAAGAUAAUAAUUAAAAAUUUUAACAGGUGUUGCACGACUGUCGUCAGUUCGUGUCGUGAGAUGUUAGGUUCAUUCCUUUAACGAAUGUAACUCUUAAAAAAAAAAAAUUAAAAAAAUUUAAUUUUAAAAAAUUUAACGGUCAAUAAUAAGUUGAAGGAAGGUAAGAAUUAAUGUCAAGUCCCUGUGGCCUUUAUAAAUUGGGCUAUACAUGUGCUACAAUGAAAAUUACAAAAAGUUUAAAAACAAUAAAAUAUUUUUAAAAGAUUCUUUAAAAAUUUUCUUAGUUCAGAUUGUAUACUGAAACUCGUAUACAUGAAGUUGGAAUCACUAGUAAUCGUAAAUUAGAAAUGUUAUGGUGAAUAUGUAUCUUGGUUUUGUACACACCGCCCGUCACAUGCGGGGAGUAUAAUUUUUUUGAAAAUUUUAAAAAAUUUAUUAUUUAAAAUUUAAAUAUAUUUAAUUUAUAUUUUAAAUUUUUUAAAAGUUAUUAAAAUUUAUAUAACUUGUAUGAAGUCGUAACAAGGUAGCUGUACGGGAACGUGUAGCUGGAAAAAAACUCUA
rnacentral:rRNA from 1 species